rnacentral:rRNA from 1 species
UGCCGCGUGUGUGAAGAAGGCCUUCGGGUUGUAAAGCACUUUCAGACGUGAGGAAAAGCUAAGUAUUAAUACUAUUUAGCCCUGACGUUAACGUCAGAAGAAGCACCGGCUAACUCCGUGCCAGCAGCCGCGGUAAUACGGAGGGUGCAAGCGUUAAUCGGAAUUACUGGGCGUAAAGCGCGCGUAGGCGGUUAUUUAAGUCAGAUGUGAAAUCCCUGGGCUCAACCUAGGAACUGCAUUUGAUACUGGAUAGCUAGAGUAUGGUAGAGGUGAGUGGAAUUUCAGGUGUAGCGGUGAAAUGCGUAGAGAUCUGAAGGAACAUCAGUGGCGAAGGCGACUCACUGGGCCAUUACUGACGCUGAGGUGCGAAAGCGUGGGUAGCAAACAGGAUUAGAUACCCUGGUAGUCCACGCCCUAAACGAUGUCAACUAGGUGUAUGGAACUUUAUGUUCUGUGUAUCGAAGCUAACGCGAUAAGUUGACCGCCUGGGGAGUACGGCCGCAAGGCUAAAACUCAAAUGAAUUGACGGGGGCCCGCACAAGCGGUGGAGCAUGUGGUUUAAUUCGAUGCAACGCGAAGAACCUUACCUGGUCUUGACAUGUAGCGAACUUUCCAGAGAUG